CCCUUAGAUGUUCUGGGCCGCACGCGCGCUACACUGAUACAUGCAACGAGUUUAUAACCUUGAUCUGACGGUCUGGGUAAUCUUCAAACUGUAUCGUGUUAGGGAUCGAUUCUUGCAAUUUUUAAUCGUAAACGAGGAAUUCCUAGUAAACGCAAGUCAUCAGCUUGCAUUGAUUACGUCCCUGCCCUUUGUACACACCGCCCGUCGACUCUACCGAUUGAAUAGUUCGGUGAAAACUUUGGACUGUGGCAUUGUCCUUCAUUGGACUUCGCCGUAGGAAAUUGUUUAAACCUCNUNAUUUAGNGGAAGAAUAANUCGUANCA
rnacentral:rRNA from 1 species